rnacentral:rRNA from 1 species
AGUAAUGCGUGACCAACCUGCCCCAUGCUCCAGAAUAGCUCUUGGAAACGGGUGGUAAUGCUGGAUGCUCCAACUUGACGCAUGUCUUGUUGGGAAAGUGUUUAGUGGCAUGGGAUGGGGUCGCGUCCUAUCAGCUUGUAGGCGGGGUAAUGGCCCACCUAGGCUUCGACGGGUAGCCGGCCUGAGAGUGCUGACGGCCACAUUGGGACUGAGAUACGGCCCAGACUCCUACGGGAGGCAGCAGAC